UCCCAAGAAAGGGGACCUGGGCCUGAGGUCUGGUGGGAACCGGGUCACUGCCCAGGCUGGUAUCUGCGCUGGUUUCAGUGUGGCCUGGGGACGCUGGAUCUGUCAGAGUCAGGUGAGUACCCCCCGUCCCUGCUUAUGACCUGCCCCCCACAGCCUCCAUCAUGUGACACAGCCCCAGGCCCAGCUUCUCCAACAAGGGCGGCUCCGGGCACCAAGGGGACAGGACAGAGUUUGCUGGCCUUUGUAGAAGGCCCAUCUCUUUGAAGCAGAAGCAUGUGUCUCACACGGAGGACUGUCUUACUGUGCCCGCCACUGCUCAUCUGUCCUUGAUUCUCCAGCAAACAUUCCGUGAGUGACCAGAACUUGAUAGGUGCUGGGGCAACAGAUGUCAUGUGUCUGCAGCCAGGAGCUGCCAGACGAGGAAGCAGACAGGGUUUUCUCUUCCUAGGAGCCUGAGGACACAGGUCCCAUACAGACAUGCCCCACGGUGAUUGUCCCCUGUGGGUGCCAAGGAGGCCGGAUGGAACAGAUGGAGGGGAGGUGCAUCAAUUGUGCCUUAAUGGAGCGCCAGUGCAAGCAAAUGCUCUGCGGCCAAAACACCUGCCUUCCACCCAACCAGGAGAGCUUCCCCCUCAACAGCUGGUGCUCGCGUUCUCAAUGCUUUCCACCCAUUUGCUCUCAGCCACCCUCCAGGUUGCCGCCACUGAUCUCUCCCCCUGCCCUGGAGCCCUGCAGAGCUACUUUGUCCCUCCCACCCCCAUAGCCCAACACCCAAAACACCAAAAAUACAAAAUCGUUACAAGCCCCUUUUGUACUGGUUUGGGCAUAUAUAUUGUGUCUUGGUUUAUAGUCAAAAGGAGUUGGAAUUUGCUGCUGAUCAGCAAGAGAGUUUGUUACGUAAUGAGCAUUGCUCUAUGGUAUGAGAAGCAACUAUACUGCUCCUUCCAGGACAAAGCACCCCGGUGUCCUGUGGGUGUAGGCGUGAUGAGUACGUUUCCCCACAGACAGGUCCUUAUCUGUCACCAAGGGAUGGGAUGCUUGGGGUUUUACCCAAAAUAUGCUCUUUCAAAAAAGCCCCAAAUAUCUUUGAUGUUUGAAUACAAUCUGGUGUCCAUUACUCACUUGCUGUUACUUAAUCUCUUCGACAAUUUACUUAAUCUCCUAGUGCUUCAAUUUCCUCAUUGAAAAGAUGUGGACAAUGGUAUCUCCUCUACAGGUUGCCUUGAGGGUGAUAGUUAACUGCUGCAACAUGCUCAGCACCGGGCAACGUUUCUGGUAAAGACUCAGGGGCCCCUUUGUUAAUGUCUUCCCUCCCUGCACCUGGAGAGGAGAGGAUGAUGAGCUCAGAGACAUCAAGAAAUAUGUGGUGAGGACAAGGGUGUCAGAAAAAAAAAAUCAUGACUGGGCCUUUCAGCUCUGGAUAUCAAGACGUGUAGUUGGCACAUGUGAGAAUUCUAUGUAAACUGCUGACCACAUGUAGGUUAACAUCCAAGGCCACCACUCAUGUAAUCUCCAAAACAUCAUCAAAAAAGGUCCUGAUGCCUACUACCUCCUUCAGAGUUGUUAGUUCCCUUCUUUUACCUUAACAUUUCUCCUCAUAUAAAGGAAAUUCCUGAUGCCCUAUUUUCCAAGCUUUCAAGUCAGCUCCUCCAUUGACAGAGAUGGACCUCCUAAUUUUUUAGAUCCCUCCUGCAGAAGCCUUAGAAGAUGUAAAAUUUUCCUUACACACUUACAUGCUAAAGGACUAUCAAUAGACAAGAAUACACUGUGAAAAUCACAGAACAGGUAUAAAGAUGAAGCAACACCCUGGACCACAAAGUCCACGAAGGGAAGAAGAGACUGCUUACUCAGAUGUGCACAUACCAAUGCAACAAAUCAGGGACCAUGAAGAAUCAAGUAAAAUGAAAUGAUGAAAAUAAAUAAAUAAAUCUGUAGUAGUCUAGAGGAAUAGACAUCUAUGAACUGUCUUACAAAGAAUUCAAAAUAAUCCUCUUAAAAUAAUUUAUUGAAAACAAGAACACAAAGACAAACAACUAUAUGAAAUUCGGGGUAAAAAUGUAUGAACAAAAUGAGAAGUUCACCAAAGAAAUAGAAACCAUCAAAAUAAAUAGAAACUUGAGCUGAAGAUUACAAUGACUGUACUGAAGAAUACAAUAGAGAUCUUCGCAACAAACUCAAGCAAGCAGAAGAAAGAAUCAGAGAACUAAAAGAUAGUCAUUUGAAAUUAUCCUGUCAUAGAAGUGAAAAGAAAAACAUUUAAAAGAGUGAAGAAACACUUUGAAACAUUAUCAAUAGAAAUAAUAAUGAAUUACAGGGGCCCCACAGGAGAAGAGAGAAAGAGACAGAAAGUAUAUUUUAAACAAAAGGGUUGAAAACUUAACAAAACAUGGAGAGAUGGACAUCCAGAUUUAUGAGUCUCAAAGGAUCCCAAAUAGGUUGAACCUCCAAUGGCUACAGCAAAUUGCAUCCCAAGUAAAUUGUCUAUGGUCAAAGACAUAGGUAAGUUUGAAAGCAACAAGAGAAUAAUGAGUCAUCACAUGUAAGUCAGCACCAUGAAACUUAAGAUGGAUUUCUCAGUAGAAACUUUGCAGUCCAGGAGAGAAAGAGAAUAUAUUCAAAUAUAGAAGAAAAAAACAUUUCAAACAAAAAUAUGGUACCCAGCAAACCUGUUCUUCAGAAAUGAAGGAGACAUUGAAAACAUACAAAAACAAAUAAAGCUGAAAGAGUUCAUUACCAGAAGACUUGCUGUACAAGAAAUGCUGCAGGAAUUUCUUCAAGCAGAAAUAAAUGAAUAAUAAUUAGCAUUGUGAAAACAUAAGAAGUUUCUCAAACUCUUCCAAAGAAAUGAAGAGGAGGGAACACUCCCAAAGUCAUUUACAAGGCCAUCACUAUCCUGAAUCCAAAGCCAGAAAAGGGCAUUACAAGAAAAGAAAACUACAGACCAAUAUCCCUGGUGAAUAUAAUGGAAAAUUUCCCCCCAAAAUACUAGUGAACCAAGUUUAGCAGCACCAUUAAAAGGAUCAUGCACCAUGAUCAAGUGGGAUUCUCUGAAAUGCGAGGAUAGUUUGAUAUACACAAAACAAUAAAUGUGAUACCUCACAUUAAUAGAUUGAAAGAAAAAAAUCGUAUGUUCAUCUCAAUAGGUGCAGAAAAAGCAUUUGACAAAAUUCAAGAUCCAUUGAUGAAUAUGGACAUGAGCCAUUAAUUCCCUAAUGUGAGCAUUUACACAGCUUUUGUGAAAUUAUUCAGUAUCUAGGGCAACCUUGAGAAUAAUCUGUUCACUUAAAAUUCUGUGUCUAACUGAACUGUUAUUCAAGAGUGAGCAAAAAAACAUAUUUUUAGAUGUAUGGAACCUAAGUUUAACAUCAUCACAACCUUGUUGCUGAAAAACCCACUGACUAUUGAGAAUAACUGUAUAUUGAAAAUCACAGGGACAAUCACCAAUUUGGAGAGUUUUUCUCUUGAAAAGGAUGGAGAGUAUGAAGUAGGUUGGUUAGGAAGAGUCUCAGAGGGUAGAACAGUCCCAAAUGAGUUUCAGCCUUGAAGCUGGGGAGACCUGGAUCCAUCAAAGGAGACUGAGCUCUCCUACACACGGGCUGGCAUCAGUAUCCUUGCUGAGCUCAGCUCUUGGCUGGCAGCAGGUACUUGCCUCUGUUUGAAUGAGGGGGUGGAUUGUGGUCGUGGAUGGUGGACCCAGAGCACCCUCCUCUUCAGUUAUACUCCCUACUGUCAGAAACCUGAGUGGUACAUUUUCAAGGCGCCCACUAUGUAAAUGGACUUGACCUACCAGUUAAAGACAGAGUUACCAGAUUGUUUAUAAUUCUAGGUGUAUACUUUUAAAAGGAAACAUAUCUAAUACAUAAGAACAAUAAAGAGUGGACUGUAAAAGAAUGGAUAGUGAUAUGCCAGAGAUGCUGGGAAAACCAAAAGGCUAUAGAGUCUUCAACAACAAUGACAAAAAUAGCAUUAGGGCUAAAGAGGGCAAGUUCCUAAUGAUAAAGUUUCAUGUUUAAGAAAGCUACAAAAUUGUUAAACUGGAAUGCACCUAACAAAAGGAAAAUUAUAUCUGAUAAGGAGAAUAUGCCAAAUCCACUGUUAUCCUGAGAAAAUUUGAACAAUUAUCAGUCAAGGCAAUAUAUUACUUAAACUGUAGAAGAUUUGAAUAAUACAAUAAACUUGGUAUAAUGGGACUGGAAAGAAUCUUCCACUCAGUCAUGUAUCAAAAUAAGUCCCCAUAAAAGUAAAAGAAAUAAAAGUAAAAGACCAUGUUCGCUGAUCACAAUACAAUUUGUUUGGAAAUCAAUGACAAAAAGAAAUUUUGAAAAAAUGCAUACAAUUGAAAAUGUAAAAUCAGACAUAUAAUUAUGGAUCAAAGGAUAAAUCAAAACUAAAAUUAAAAUAUUAUCAGAUGAUACUAAUUGUUACCUAUGGAAACACGAGAUACAGUGAAAGAAAAACUUACGAUAUUUGAGGCUCAAAAGUUUCAUAUUACAGAAAAAAAGGUGAAAAUUAAUGAGCUCAUAAUCCAACUAAACAUAUUAGAAAAAGAAUUGUAAAAUACUCAAAGAAAAUGAAAGAGAGAAGAUGUGGAAGAAAGGACAAGUAAAUUAAAUAGAAAACCAAAAUUCAACAGGGAGUAAUAACAAAACCAAUUAUUUGAAAAGUUUACAAAUAUAGAUACUACACUGAUGGAAUUGAUCAAAAACAAGACAGAGUUUCCCAACGUCUUUUUUAAAUGAACGUCCCAGGAGCUUUUUAAAACAUUUUUUUUCUGACAGCCGUGCUCUCUCAUGAAGUUUAGUACCACAGAUCUACUGUUUAUCACUUUGUGUGCUGUGCCUCAUACUCAAAAGAGUAAGACAAAUUUUCACCCCCUUGGGACAAUAUCCUCCCUGUUGUGAAUGCAUGGAAUAAGAAAAGAUACAAUUAAGUUAUAGUAGGAAUUAUAAAGAAGGUAUAACUAAGGACAGCAGAACCAUAAAAAUCGAACGUAUUCUGCAAACUUUAUGCCAAUAUACAUGAAUAGAUGUUCAUAUUCCAAGAAAAACGUAAUACUUGAAAUGACUGAUAAAAGAAAUAGAAGCACUAAAAAUCCAGUGUGUUAGUCUGCUCGGGCUGCCACAACAAACUAUCACAGGACUAGGGGAAUUAAACAGCAGAAUUCAUUUUCCCCACAGUUCUGGAGGCUAGAAGUCUAAGGUCAGGGCGUCAGCAGGGUUGGUUUCUGAUGAGGCCUCUCUUCCUGGAUUGCAGAUGGCCGCCUUCCCUCUGUGUCCCCAGCUGCCUUUCCACUGUGACCGUGUGGACAGACAGCUAUGGCGACUCUUCCUCUUCUGAUGAGGGCACCAAACCUAUAGGAUUAGGGCCCAACCCUAUGACCUUAUUUAACCAUAAUCACCUCCUGAAGGCCCCACAUCCAAAUGCAGUCACAUUAAGGAUAAGGGCUCAAUAUAUGAAUUCGGGGAGAGGGGCAUAAUUCAGUCCAUUGUAUUUAGUAAAUAUAAAUAAAUUGUACCAGUAGUUUAAAGACUUCCUUCAAAGAAAACACCAGGUAUAGGAGAUAGCAUACCAAAUAUUCAAGAAGCAGAUUAUUGUGAUCAUGUUCAAAGUCUUUCCAAAGAGAACAUAAAACACUUCCAGGUACAUUUUAUGAGGCUAGUAUUACCUAGUAUCAAAUUCAGAUAAGAACAGCACAAAAAUAGAAAAUUACAGGCCAGUUCCUCUCAUGAUCAUAGGCAAAACAAACAAACAAAAAAAAAAACCUAAACUAAUA